rnacentral:lncRNA from 1 species
UUGUAUCGAGAAGUUUAUUUUAAAAAAUAGCAUGGCAUCCUGGCAAAUCAAUCACAUCACAUCCACAGCCUGGUGGAGGGAAAGUAACUUUUGUGGGCCAAGUUUCAUCACUGCAGUGUACAGAUAACAUGGAUUUUUAUCAGUAGUUGUUUUACAUCAGGAAUUUUGUUGACAAAGAACAAUGCUAAUUGCAAUAAAACCACCACCUUGAAAUAUCACCAUACAUGACUCCAGCAUUCCUGACAGUUGGUUCUUUGAAUGUAUGCACUUAAAUCAUAUAGUCACCUAUUAGGCAAAUAAUUUAAUGACAGAACUCAAGAAUUUCUUUAAACACAGUAUUUCAAGCUACUAUAUUUUUGUCUGGAGUACACACCUGAAAUGGUACAAAUUGUACCUAAAUACUGAACCAUGAGUUAAGCGAAUAGAAUGAAACAAACAAUAACACAAUUCUGACUUAAGUUCCCAAUCCUUACUCCCAUUCACUCUUAACUUGCCUCAGACGGUUUCUGUUGAAGA